rnacentral:lncRNA from 1 species
UUUUAGUAGUCUUAACUAUACAUUAAUCCCAAUUACCUUGUUGCUUUCAUAUUUAAGUAAUUUAGAUUUUUCUUGUAAGCUUCAAUCCUAAUCAGUGACCUUUAACAAGCUAUAACAUCCAAUCCAACCAUCUUCUUGAUGUAUAAUUUGGCAUGCAAUUUUCAAUGUAAGUCUUCUAUAUGCUCAAGAAUUUUUAGUCCAAUCCAACUUACAGAUUGUGAGAAAACCUCCAAAAAUUGCACUAAUGUCACUUGGCCGCCAACUUAAAAAGUGAAGCAAAAAUCCCAGCAAUGAUUUCUCCCUUUCCAACUAUUAACUUUAUCUCAGAAUUGGUAUAUAGCUUGAUCUUCAAGUCCUUCAAAACCAUGCCAAUUUU